rnacentral:rRNA from 1 species
UACGGAGGGAGCUAGCGUUGUUCGGAAUUACUGGGCGUAAAGCGCACGUAGGCGGCUAUUCAAGUCGGGGGUGAAGGCCCGGGGCUCAACCCCGGAACUGCCCUCGAAACUAGAUAGCUAGAAUCUUGGAGAGGCGAGUGGAAUUCCGAGUGUAGAGGUGAAAUUCGUAGAUAUUCGGAAGAACACCAGUGGCGAAGGCGACUCGCUGGACAAGUAUUGACGCUGAGGUGCGAAAGCGUGGGGAGCAAACAGGG